UUGGAACUGAGACACGGUCCAAACUCCUACGGGAGGCAGCAGUGAGGAAUAUUGGUCAAUGGACGAGAGUCUGAACCAGCCAAGUAGCGUGCAGGAUGACGGCCCUAUGGGUUGUAAACUGCUUUUAUAAGGGAAUAAAGUGAGUCUCGUGAGACUUUUUGCAUGUACCUUAUGAAUAAGGACCGGCUAAUUCCGUGCCAGCAGCCGCGGUAAUACGGAAGGUCCGGGCGUUAUCCGGAUUUAUUGGGUUUAAAGGGAGCGUAGGCCGGAGAUUAAGCGUGUUGUGAAAUGUAGAUGCUCAACAUCUGCACUGCAGCGCGAACUGGUUUCCUUGAGUACGCACAAAGUGGGCGGAAUUCGUGGUGUAGCGGUGAAAUGCUUAGAUAUCACGAAGAACUCCGAUUGCGAAGGCAGCUCACUGGAGCGCAACUGACGCUGAAGCUCGAAAGUGCGGGUAUCGAACAGGAUUAGAUACCCUGGUAGUCCGCACGGUAAACGAUGGAUGCCCGCUGUUGGUCUGAAUAGGUCAGCGGCCAAGCGAAAGCAUUAAGCAUCCCACCUGGGGAGUACGCCGGCAACGGUGAAACUCAAAGGAAUUGACGGGGGCCCGCACAAGCGGAGGAACAUGUGGUU
rnacentral:rRNA from 1 species